rnacentral:lncRNA from 12 species
CAGGCUGAGCACUGCUUUUGUGGGAUCCAUUCCUGGGAAAUGGAAAUACUUUGCUCUAAGGUCCUCCUACAGGAAAAUACAAGGCUGCAGGAGAGAAAAGAUCCCAUGAGCCAUCUGAAAGGACAACGCAAAUUCUGAAGGAAAUGCAGCAUGGAAAACAAGUGAUGAAAGUAAAGACUGUGCUGAAGGCUCUGUUUCCCGGAGGAAGCAGUGGUUCUGUUCCAGCCAUGGCUGCAGGAAGGGAGGCGAUGCCAGGCACAGUCACAGGAGAUUUGGAUCGCGACUUGGAUUAUUUGGAAUUGCUGGUGAAUGACACUUUAAAGAUCUUGAAGAAUGCUCGAGGUGAACCUGUUGGUGAAGGUGAUCAGGCUUCCAAACCCACAUCCAGGACAGAGACUCAGGGAGCUGGUGAUGGUACAGGUGUGUCUGCCAGAAGAAUUUCUCUAACACCUUUGCUGGAUGCUGCACACAAGCCCAGCUCCCAUCGCAGGGGUCCUCCAAGAGGAAGGAACAAAGCUUCAGGACACAAGAAACCCCAAGAGCCAUCCGAAGGCACAACACAAAUUCUGAAGGAAAUGAACCAGGGAGGACAAGGUGAGCGUGCUAGGAAGGCUUCUCCAGCAGCUUGGCUUCAUGAACAUUUUCAGCCUCUGGAGCCUCCUGCAGGUAUG